GUGUCAGCCGCCGCGGUAAUACAUAGGAUGCAAGCGUUAUCCGGAUUUACUGGGCGUAAAGAGUUCGUAGGUUUCUUGUCGCAUUUUGUUUGAAAUACCAAGGCUCAACUUUGGGACCGGACAGAAUAUGGACAAGAUCGAGUCUAUUAGGGGGUACUGGAAUUGACGGUGUAGCAGUGAAAUGCGUUGAUAUCGUCAAGAACACCAAGGGCGAAGGCAGGUACCUGGGAUAGUACUGACACUGAGGAACGAAAGCUAGGGGAGCGAAAGGGAUUAGAAACCCUAGUAGUCC
rnacentral:rRNA from 1 species